rnacentral:rRNA from 1 species
UCUGGCUCAGAACGAACGCUGGCGGCGUGGUUAAGACAUGCAAGUCGAACGAGAAGCCUCCUUCNGGGAGGUGGACAGUGGCGCACGGGUGAGUAACACGUGAGCAAUCUGCCCGGAAGCCCGGAAUAGCCCUCCGAAAGGAGGAUUAAUGCCGGAUGUGGCCAACCCGCGAUUGCGGGUGACGCUAAAGAUUUAUCGCUUCUGAGAGGAGCUCGCGGCCCAUCAGCUUGUUGGUGAGGGUAAUGGCCCACCAAGGCGGUGACGGGUAGCUGGUCUGAGAGGAUGGUCAGCCACACUGGAACUGAGACACGGUCCAGACACCUACGGGUGGCAGCAGUCGAGAAUCAUUCGCAAUGGGGGCAACCCUGACGAUGCGACGCCGCGUGAAGGAUGAAGGCCCUAGGGUUGUAAACUUCUGUCAAGAGGGAAUAAGCAAGUGAAGGUACCUCUAGAGGAAGGGGCGGCUAAUUCCGUGCCAGCAGCCGCGGUAACACGGAAGCCCCGAGCGUUGUUCGGAUUUAUUGGGCGUAAAGGGUGCGUAGGCGGCGCGGAAAGUCUGGUGUGAAAGGCAGGGGCUCAACCCCUGGACUGCACUGGAUACUCCCGUGCUUGAGGACUGGAGAGGAGACUGGAAUUCACGGUGUAGCAGUGAAAUGCGUAGAUAUCGUGAGGAAGACCGGUGGCGAAGGCGAGUCUCUGGACAGUUCCUGACGCUGAGGCACGAAGGCUGGGGUAGCGAACAGGAUUAGAUACCCUGGUAGUCCCAGCAGUAAACGAUGUGAGCUUGAUGUGGGGGGAUUCGACCCCUUCCGUGUCGAAGUUAACGCGAUAAGCUCACCGNCUGAGGAGUACGAUCGCAAGAUUAAAACUCAAAGAAAUUGACGGGGACCCGCACAAGCGGUGGAGUAUGUGGCUUAAUUCGAUGCAACGCGAAGAACCUUACCUGGCCUUGAC